AUGGAGGUGCCCAUGCCUCGAUUAAGGCCCUCGAAGUCUAUUGAUGAGGGGAUGUUUUCAGGAGAUAACUACGUCAACUAUUCCAGCAGUAUGCCCCCUGCGUUUGGUUUGCCAGAGUAUUCCUCACCCAUAAUCAGUCACGAUGGCCAACCCAAGUCGGCUCCCUCAAUGUUCGGCAAUCAGCCUGCCACCGCAUUUAUCCACCCACUAACCGGGAAAGUACUGGACCCCUCAUCACCGCUUGGCCUUGCGUUAGCGGCCAGAGAACGAGCCUUGAAGGACGACCGCAGGACGCGCCGCGACGACAGGUAUUUUAGUCGUCAGAUGUCCACGGUGGGAGCUUUUCCAACCCCUAUUCAGACUCCGACCCCUUCAUUGUUCGCGACCCCUACUCAAUCGACGUACACUUCUCCGGUUUCCGUGCAUCUCACUUCGCCCACCGCCACCACCUCGCCGGCAUCGCUAAGCCGGCCCCAGUCCCCGAGGAUACUGCGUAUGGGGGGUGGGGAAAGGGUGGAGAGGGAGAAGGAAGCGGGGCCGCGAGAGGGUCUCAGAGUCCGCUUUUCAGAGGACAGAACCAGUCAGUAUGCGCCGCAAUAUUACCCAGGCCCGAAGGAUAAAGAGGUGUACAACAACAGGCCUGUCUCAAUGGCGCAGCCUCCCCCACCUCCAAGUCAGCCCGCCCCUUGCAGACCCUCGUUCCUUCAAUUCGAGAGUGCGUCUCACUCCAGCUACAUCCCUCAGUACACUGUCCCGUCGGGCCCAUCACAUGAGAGAGCAUGCGAGGCAGCGGCAGGACAGUCCCAGGAGGGUUUAGGACUUAUGGUACUCCCUCCGCCCGCUCCGUCAAUUGAUGUUGACGAUGAGUUUGUCUUUGCCGACCCAUUACCUCCACCGCUGCAGUUUGCCAACGGGAAACAUGAGAGGGGUUUAAAGCAUCAUGUCCCGGGGCACAACGCCACUGGUGUAGCCCAUCCACAACCGCCUCCUGCGAAAAACACCCCCCAGACGACUUCACAAGGGGACUCGGCUGCAUCCAGUUUGACCUCCUAUGACAGCGAAGUGGCGACCCUUACACAAUCGGCACUGUCUCCGUCAUACUCGUCACCGCAGGUAUUUCCUUCGACGACCACUGCUGCUACAAGCUCUGCUGAUGCUCCCCCAUCGUCACUACACAGGCCGCAGCCCCUGUCCCAGCCUCAGGACUAUUACAGCAGCUCCAAUGACCCGUCGGCGAGUGGACAAAGCCUCGCUCAAGACAGAGGUUCCGCCGCCCUAACCACCACCAUGACAUACGCAACAACCACUAUGACUGCAACUUCAGCGGCCACCACUACAGCAGCCCCCCUGCAACCUCUGACUACAGCAUGGCAGGCCCAAAAGCUAGCGUCGCCACGGGAGCAAAAGCUGCAGACCACACGCAUCAUUACUCCAUGGUUCAGAAAAGUGGAGACUGGCAGGACGCAGUGGUGGACUCUGGCAUAG
rnacentral:lncRNA from 1 species